rnacentral:lncRNA from 1 species
CACAUGCAGCCAUGUGCAUGCAUGCAACGGAUCCAUUGUUUUUCGCCAAUUUAGUUGUAGAGAUCCGUUCUUUUCUAGCGCACGCAUGAAGAGCCGGGCCUAUAUAAGGAGGCGAGUCAUCCACGCAGCACCGGGAUUAAACCACCCGUUCAGAUCGCACCACGCACAAGACCACCAAAUACGCAAACCAGCCGCCGCCGAGUAAAUCUCGCCUGUGUCCACCACUUUGAGCGUUGUGGCUUCAGGCCAUCGGCGGUCCUCCAUGGGGACGCCCGUGGCUGCGGGUGGCGCGUGGGAGCUGCAUGUUGGCGGGAACUCCUCGCCAGCGUCGCGGUUCUACGCAUCAUCGUGAAUAGGAGCCCCUGUGCUGCGCAAUCGAAGGUAAUAGCAUCAUCAUAUGGCUCGCUUCCUUCUCUAUUGCGCAUAGCGUCCGUUAGCAGGAAGAACGGGUCCCGGAUGGCCGGGGCGUCUGCUCGCCUGCGCGGUGCCGCCGCGGUUGGGGACGCCGCCGCGGUCUAGGGGCGUUGGUUGAGGGAGUAAUGGGAAGCGUAGAUUUAUUGACGAUCAGCCUGGAUUAGAUGUUAGGGUGUUGCGCCGGGCGCCAUUGAUCCCGCGGGCUUCUGAUCGGACGGCCGAAUUUCUCUAUACCCCUUCGACCGUGGCAAAAUUCUUAAAGAGCCCCUGAUCUUCACAGUACUCAACCCGCCGUCCUCGGCCGAUGUAAAGUAAUUGCUAUUGAGCCCUGUAUAUUUAUAAACUAGCCCAUGUACUCUUUAGAAUUUGUAGCAGCAGUCUAUAGCCUUUGUUUUCGGUAAAUAGAAUUUUAGAAAAUGAUUUAUAAUAUAGAAUAAUCAUAGAUAAUUCAUAACUUCUCCAUUUUAACCCCUUUUUUAACCCAUUCCAGUUGUAAUAAUUUUUUAUAUUGUCUAUCAACUUGUAACACUGUUUAGCCAUGAAACUUGAAUUAAAAUUAUUCAUUAAGAUUAAUCUAUUCUAAGUACUGAAUAAUUUCAGAAGUUCAUAACUUAAUGACUGUAACUUCGAAUUUAGUGGUUCUUGUUUCUGCGAUCUCGUAGCAACGCGUAGAAUAUUAUUAUUUAGUCUGUUCUUAUGUUUGAUGUGAUGUUAAUUUUGUCUAUACCAUGUAUGUUUGUAUUACUACGACUAGCAGUGAGAACACGUGUCAUCUGAAGAGCAAGUUGGUACCUGGAAUCUCAAGUCCCAGGCAAGUUGUGCCCUUGAUCACUUCUUUUACCCACUCAUGUUCUAAUUAAUCAUAAUGAUCUGCAUAGGUUAAUUUUGAUGGGACCUAAUAGGUUACCCUAGUUUGUCUAUCUUUAUGCCUUGUUUACCACUGAACUUUUUGGGUAGUACUUGCUAGUGCUAUAUGUGGUUUUGGGCAUUGAGAUACACAUUAUUCAUGAUUGUACUUUUGUUAUCCGUUGUUAGUUACUGUUCAUGUCAAGAUCAUUAAUGUUAAUUGGAACAUAGAGCUUACCUUGAGAAACACGUGCCACCACAAGGGUUUAUGGACACCCUUGGCUGAUUAAUUAGGAAAGCUAGUGGAGGACUACCUUACCCGAAAGGGCAAGGGCAGUAGGGGAGUGGUCAGUGUAGGGAGGUCCUUGGUUGAUUUUGCUGCGAUGGCGGUCAGACAAGAACCCUGCAUUGGAGCUUCCUAUAAACUGUAGCGGGUUUUCUGAAGCUAGUGGAACUCUGUAAAGGCCUCGUAGUGUUACCCUGCCUCGCCUCCUCGGUAGAGGUGUAUGGGAAGUCGCGAUCCCUUGGCAGAUGGGUAACAUGACUUGUGGGUAAAGGGUACCACCUCUGCAGAGUGUAAAACUGGUAUACUAGCCGAGCUCACGGUCAUGAGCAGCUCAGGACUCUCUGAUGAUUAAUUUAUGGAACUAAAUUCAAUUUGUCAUAUGCAUUGCAUCGCAGGUGAUGGUGUUACUUUUGUUCUACUACUUAAUUGGGUUGGUAUUUACUUAUACUUAGUAAUUGCUAAUAAAAUUUUGACCAACUUUAAAAGCAAUGCUCAGCUCUAACCAUCCUCUUUGGUAAGCCUUACACUUCACGUGAGCUCCCACCUUUGGCGAGUUCAUGCACAUUAUUCCCCACAACUUGUUGAGCGAUGAACGUAUGUGAGCUCACUCUUGCUGUCUCACACCCCCCCACAGGUCAAGAACAGGUACCGCAGGAUGAGGCGCAUGGAGGAUGCUGCGAUGAGUUCGUGAGAGAGAUCUAGGCCGUCGUCUCCCAGUCAACUUUGGGUUGCUGGACCGUUGUCUCCUUAUAAUGUAAUUAUUUAUUUUGUAUAGAACUCCUGUUAUGUAGUAAAGAUGUGACAUUCGAUCCUGUGCCAUGAUUCAUCAUAUGUGUGAGACUUGGUCCCAGCACACCUGGUGAUUAUGUUCGCGCCCGGGCUUUGGACCCCUAAAACCCGGGUGUGACAGAAGUGGUAUCAGAGGAAUGUUGACUGUAGGACGAAACCUAGAUAGAACUGGACAACCAAUACUUACUUACCUCUGCUACUCUGAUUCUUUCUAAACUUAUCUUAAUCUUUUCUCAUCUAUUUCCGAUUUACUCUGAUUAUUCUUACCUUUUCCUUCUAAAGACAAAUGUGAAUUUCACACUUUGAAAUUCUGUGCCUAAAGUGACCUUUAGGAAUAGGAGACCUAAUCUUAGGAACAAAAACAAAACUAUUUUCUUAUAGAUAUAUAUACGCUUGAGUGCUUGUUCUUAUGGUACUGUUUGAUUUGGAUUUUUGGUUGAGUGUGAUGAGUUGUGGAGUAAUGUCCAUAAUUGCAUCUGCAUAUACACCUAGACAUAAAGGAAAAUAUUAUUAACAUAAAAUAUUAUAUAGACCCCUCUUAUCUUAAAAGAUGCUCUCUUAUCUUAAUAGAUCUAUCUUAUCUUAAAAGAUUCUCUCCUACCUUAAUAAAUUCAUCUUAUUCCGAAAAGAUUCUAUCAUAUCCUAAUAGAUCUAACUAACCUCAAAACAUUCUACCUUAUCCUUAUGGAUUCAUCUUGCCCUAAUUAGCAUAUUUAUCCCACUCUAGAAUAACAACCAUGAGCUAAUCCAAAAUUUAUUUAGAUCUUAUUUAGUCAUAACAAUCUAACCUAGAUCCAAUCCAAUGUAUAGAUUAAUCUAACCCAACGAAGACUAACCUCAAGUUGAACUAAUCUAAUGUAAGUUGUUUAAGCAAGUUAGAUAAUGCGGGUGGCAUAAAUUAGAUCAUACUCCUAUAAACAUGAUUAACCUAAACCAGUCCGCUAUACCAGUUCAGCCAGUUGGGUUGCAAAGUAGGUAUAGACCGACAUAAAAUUAUAAGCACCCAAGAUUUUUUUAUUAUCAUAACCUAUUCUACCCACAUCUACCUACUUGCCCCUAAAUAAAUUGAUCAUGUGAGCUUAGCAAGUUUAAUCUAGUCAUACCUAAUCUAGAUUCUAUCUAAUCUAUUAUGAUAUAAUCUAGAGUGAGUUAAUUAAUGCUGGUACAAAAGAUAAGGCCAUACCCCCUAAUUCACUUAUGCCUAAAUUGGUGACUUAGAACAACUCAGCCAUACACAACAACCUGACCUACAUAACAUGUUACAUAAUUUAUCCAACCAAUCUAGAAGAAAACAACCAAACGAAAUUCUGACUUAUCUCAUUUAACUCAUAGCUACUUACUAAACCUCUUAUCCCUAACCCGGAUGAAGACACCAAGGUCUGGAAAGAAGAGCUCAACCUCGACCAGGAAGAAGAUGAGUCAAAUCCAACUUCAACAUGAAGCAAGAUCCACAGUUCAGGAUAAAGUCUUUCCUUAUUAAACUCUUCCUUGCCAUGACCUAUACUGACUAUAAGGGAAUCUCAUAGAUGCCUAGACAUACUUUGUCCAUAUUUUCCUAACCAUCUCCUAACCCGUAUUCUAUUAUUUUAGGAAUAAUAAUAAGGUCCAAUCGACCAUAUGUUUUGCUAAUAAAUUAUGCAUCAUGCUGAGAUUUUUGUUCGUGCAUAUGUGUUGAGACAAUAUGGGUAUACAUCUUUUUCUUACAAAUCUCGAGGACGAGAUUUCUGUUAAGGGGGGUAGAAUUUGUAACACCCAAAAUCCUAUUUUUCGCUUUGGGUUUUUUUUCCAAAAAUGUAUUAGAUUAAAGUGUGUUUUAAUAAGGAGGUUCUUACUUUUUUUUGAAAGUCUUCUUCUAGAAUAAUUAAUUGGUAAUAUUGAAAUUCUCGGUUUCAAAUUUAGUAUCGAAACUUCAGUCUAAAAUGUAAAACUCCAAAAAGAAAUAAACGAAAGACUUUCCAAUUCAUUUAUAGAAUGGAUUAUUUCCUUUGUGAGCUAUAUAAUUAGAAACACUCUUUAAAAAUAUUCAAAUCUUAGGUAACUCGUGACAAAGAUAUACAUUACCUUUGCAGUAACAAAUAUUAAAUUUCGAAUGAAGUUUUUAAUCAAAACAAUGAUUUAUUUAAAAUGAAUAAGGUACAUAUUUGGAUUGUUUACUUAAAAUGAUUAAAGAAACAAUUAAAAAAUAAAAUACAUAAUAAGAUCUCAUGCUGGGUUUCCUGUAUGGUUGCAUUUAUAUUCGAAAUAACUCAGAGUUGAUAAUUGAUAAUAGUAUAUAAAAUACUACAAAUAAAUACUUGGAAUAUAUAAGUAAUAUUUCAUAAAAUAAUAUGUACUUAAUAUUAUUUGAAAUCUUGUUUGACGUUGCUUAUGAAUAGAUAUGAACGAAGGAGUGCUCAAGAGUUGCAUGCGGACUUUAUUUUAAAAAUAAAUAAAUCAAGGUAGUUAUGCAUGAAUGUGAAAGGAGAUUAAUCCAAGGUUCGAUGAAUGCUCGACAUGCGAUUUGCAGACUUGUACCACGGCGUGGGGUGAAGAUUAUCCGAUUGAGCAGUAGAAAUUCACCGCAUGCAGAGAGGAGAUUCUAGUUGUAAAUACGCUCAACUGAAGUCCUUAGCUAAUAAGUAUACUGUGAAAUCCUUAUCCUGUACGCACAUGCAGCCAUGUGCAUGCAUGCAACGGAUCCAUUGUUUUUCGCCAAUUUAGUUGUAGAGAUCCGUUCUUUUCUAGCGCACGCAUGAAGAGCCGGGCCUAUAUAAGGAGGCGAGUCAUCCACGCAGCACCGGGAUUAAACCACCAGUUCAGAUCGCACCACGCACACGACCACCAAAUACGCAAACCAGCCGCCGCCGAGUAAAUCUCGCCUGUGUCCACCACUUUGAGCGUUGUGGCUUCAGGCCAUCGGCGGUCCUCCAUGGGGAUGCCCGUGGCUGCGGGUGGCGCGUGGGAGCUGCAUGGUGGCGGGAACUCCUCGCCAGCGUCGUGGUUCUACGCAUCAUCGUGAAUAGGAGCCCCUGUGCUGCGCAAUCGAAGGUAAUAGCAUCAUCAUAUGGCUUGCUUCCUUCUCUAUUGCGCAUAGCGUCCGUUAGCAGGAAGAACGGGUCCCGGAUGGCCGGGGCGUCUGCUCGCCGGCGCGGUGCCGCCGCGGUUGGGGACGCCGCCGCGGUCUAGGGGCGUUGGUUGAGGGAGUAAUGGGAAGCGUAGAUUUAUUGACGAUCAGCCUGGAUUAGAUGUUAGGGUGUUGCGCCGGGCGCCAUUGAUCCCGCGGGCUUCUGAUCGGACGGCCGAAUUUCUCUAUACCCCUUCGACCGUGGCAAAAUUCUUAAAGAGCCCCUGAUCUUCACAGUACUCAACCCGCCGUCCUCGGCCGAUGUAAAGUAAUUGCUAUUGAGCCCUGUAUAUUUAUAAACUAGCCCAUGUACUCUUUAGAAUUUGUAGCAGCAGUCCAUAGCCUUUGUUUUCGGUAAAUAGAAUUUUAGAAAAUGAUUUAUAAUAUAGAAUAAUCUUAGAUAAUUCAUAACUUCUCCAUUUUAACCCCUUUUUUUAACCCAUUCCAGUUGUAAUAAUUUUUUUAUAUUGUCUAUCAACUUGUAACACUGUUUAGCCAUGAAACUUGAAUUAAAAUUAUUCAUUAAGAUUAAUCUAUUCUAAGUACUGAAUAAUUUCAGAAGUUAAUAACUUAAUGACUGUAACUUCGAAUUUAGUGGUUCUUGUUUCUGCGAUCUCGUAGCAACGUGUAGAAUAUUAUUAUUUAGUCUGCUCUUAUGUUUGGUGUGAUGUUAAUUUUGUCUAUACCAUGUAUGUUUGUAUUACUACGACUAGCAGUGAGAACACGUGUCAUCUAAAGAGCAAGUUGGUACCUGGAAUCUCAAGUCCCAGGCAAGUUGUGCCCUUGAUCACUUCUUUUACCCACUCAUGUUCUAAUUAAUCAUAAUGAUCUGCAUAGGUUAAUUUUGAUGGGACCUAAUAGGUUACCCUAGUUUGUCUAUCUUUAUGCCUUGUUUACCACUGAACUUUUUGGGUAGUACUUGCUAGUGCUAUAUGUGGUUUUGGGCAUUGAGAUACACAUUAUUCAUGAUUAUACUUUUGUUAUCCGUUGUUAGUUACUGUUCAUGUCAAGAUCAUUAAUGUUAAUUGGAACAUAGAGCUUACCUUGAGAAACACGUGCCACCACAAGGGUUUAUGGACACCCUUGGCUGAUUAAUUAGGAAAGCUAGUGGAGGACUACCUUACCCGAAAGGGCAAGGGCAGUAGGGGAGUGGUCAGUGUAGGGAGGUCCUUGGUUGAUUUUGCUGCGAUGGCGGUCAGACAAGAACCCUGCAUUGGAGCUUCCUAUAAACUGUAGCGAGUUUUCUGAAGCUAGUGGAACUCUGUAAAGGCCUCGUAGGUACCGCAGGAUGAGCUCGUAUGUGAGCGAUGAACGUAUGUGAGCUCACUCUUGCUGUCUCACACCCCCCCACAGGUCAAGAACAGGUACCGCAGGAUGAGGCGCAUGGAGGAUGCUGCGAUGAGUUCGUGAGAGAGAUCUAGGCCGUCGUCUCCCAGUCAACUUUGGGUUGCUGGACCGGUGUCUCCUUAUAAUGUAAUUAUUUAUUUUGUAUAGAACUCCUGUUAUGUAGUAAAGAUGUGACAUUCGAUCCUGUGCCAUGAUUCAUCAUAUGUGUGAGACUUGGUCCCAGCACACCUGGUGAUUAUGUUCGCGCCCGGGCUUUGGACCCCUAAAACCCGGGUGUGACAACCAUGAAGUGGCCUUUAACACUCUUAAGCAGUCCCUGUCUUCAGCCCCAGUUUUAGCUCUGCCCAAUUUCGCAAUGCCCUUUGCUAUUGAGUUUGAUGCCUCGAGUUUGGGGAUUGGUGCGGUGCCGUUACAAGACGGUCAUCCUCUAGCCUUUGUCAGCAAAGCACUUGGGUCCAAAACUAAAGGCCUUUCGACUUAUGAAAAUGAGUAUUUAGCAAUUAGUCUUCCAGUCACUCAGUGGAGACAAUAUUUACAACAUUCGGAAUUUCUCAUCUAUACUGAUCAUAGAAGUUUAUCCCAUCUUACAGAGCAGAAGUUGCAUAGGCAGCAGAAAAUGUUUUUCAAACUAUUAGGGUUGCAGUACCGAGUGGUAUAUAAGAAAGGAGUGGAAAAUGGGGCAGCCGACGCAUUGUCUCGCAGACCGGCCACCGAAGCUAUGUUGUGUAGUGUAUCCUCUUCGGUGCCUCAAUGGCUUAUUAAGGUGUUAGACAGCUACAACCAAGACCCUCAAGCCCAAAAAAUACUGACUGAACUUGUGGUCCAACAAGACAAUUCUGCACCUUAUUCCAUACAGUCGGGUAUAAUUCGUUACAAAGGCCGAGUUUGGGUUGGCAAUGAUUCUCAUCUUCAGCAUAACAUCAUAGCUGCAUUGCAUGACAGUCCCUUGGGAGGACAUUCUGGAUUUGUAGUUACCUAUCAGCGUGUUAAACAGUUGUUCUCUUGGAAAGGUAUGAAAGAUCAGAUCAAGUAUUACGUUGUUGGUUGUUCUGUACGUCAUCAGUCUAAGCCUGACAGAAGCAAAUAUCCUGGACUUCUUCAACCUGUACCAGUGCCUGAGCAGUCUUGGCAAGUCAUAAGUAUGGACUUUGUGGAAGGGCUUCCUCGAUCCCGUAAUGCUGAUACUAUCUUAGUGGUGGUGGAUGUUUUUUCUAAAUACACCCAUUUCUUGCCAUUGCUUCACCCUUAUACUGCACUCAAAGUGGCUCAAGUCUUUAUGGAUUCAGUUUACAAGUUGCAUGGGUUGCCUCAUUCCAUAAUAUCAGACUAGGAUAAAAUCUUUACAAGCCACUUUUGGCAGGAGCUGUUUCGGUUGUCGGGCAUAGCCUUGAAGAUGAGUUCUUCGUAUCAUCCUCAAACGGAUGGUCAAACUGAAAGACUUAAUCAAUGUUUGGAGACAUUUUUCUUCGCAGCUUUGUGCACGCAUGUCCUUCCAAAUGGUUAUCAUGGUUGGCAUUGGCAGAGUACUGGUAUAAUACCAGCUUCCAUUCUUCAUUGGGCAUUACUCCUUUUGAGGUAAUGUAUGGUCGACAUCCUAGACAUCUGGGUAUCUCUAUGGUCGAUGUGUCCACAACAAAUGAUUUACAUGCUUGGAUGCAAGACCGGGAAUUGAUGGUAUGACUGGUCAGACAACAUCUUCUACGGGCUCAGCAAAGGAUUAAAACUCAGGCUGAUAAAGGAAGGACAGAUCGUGAGUUCUACGUGGGGGAUUCAGUAUACCUCAAACUUCAGCCAUAUGUACAGAGCUCUGUUGCUCGCCGCGCCAAUCACAAGCCAAGCUUUAAGUAUUUUGGCCCCUACACUGUUUUACAGUGCAUUGGCAAGGCAGCUUACAAAUUGCUUCUGCCACCGUCCACUUCUAUACAUCCUAUCUUUCAUGUGUCUCAACUCAAACAAUCCUUGGGUCCUAAUCAGGUGGCUGCUGUCCUUCCAGAUCAGAUUGAUCCUUUACAAGUUUCUCAGCAGAUAUUGGAUCGACGUCUUAUCAAUAGGGGCAACCAUCAGGUGUCCCGGGUUUUGAUCAAAUGGUCCAACCUUGACGCAUCUCUUUCUACAUGGGAGGAUGAAGUAGCGCUUCGUGCAAGGUUUCCUUCAGCUGCUGCUUGGGGUCAAGCAGCUUUUCAAGGCGGAGGUAAUGUCAGCAACCCGGACACAUAGGAGCAGGCAAGCACGGGAGAAGCCAUGACGGCUGAGCCAGGACGAAGGAUGGGCCGGCGCAGCCGAAGGCCUAGUUCCAGGAUCGCGGGAGCAGAGUGGAUUCGUUAAGCACCAAGGCCCAAAUACCUCAUUGCUAGCUAGAGGCUAGCUGUAAUAAAUAGAAGAGACUUGUAACAGGAAAACAGUUUUGAUUCAGUAAUCGAAAUUCAUAGCCGCGGCCACAGCGGCGACAGCUUCUCCGGCUCAUCGUCGGUGAACCAACAGUGGUUGCUGACAUGCUUGUUGACACUUUUUUUGAGGAAUCAACGUGGAGAGGGCGAGGAGCCCCACCUGAACAUUGUUGACACUAGUACUGGUAUCCCAAUAUAUGGAAUUGCUAAGUUUCAAUUAGUUCUUUGGGUUUGAAGGGAACCCAUGUACACUUUGUUCAUGUUGUUCUGGAUUGCUUUCUGUUAGUUGGAUUGCUACCAUUUUACAUGACGUAGGAGAUAACCACACAAUCUAUUAGAUACAACAUCUAGACUACCAAAUAUACUCUUAACACAUAUGACAGUCUACGAGACACAAUAUCUAGACUACCAGAUGCACGAAACACAAUUUCUGAGUUCACUCAAAGGAAUUAGCCUGAGAUGGACAACUCCUUGUUCCAUUCCCAUGAAUCUGCAGUAAAGCAGGGAGUCAGGUAGCCUGGAGAGGAAGCACUCCAACACUGUUCAUAUAAAAGGACAACGAAUUCAGCAAGAGCAGGGAAGAGUUGAUGCUGCUCAACAUGACCACACAUGAGGCACACCAAUCUCUGCCUUUCAAGAAUCAGUAAAAUGGUAUCUGCAAGAUGUGUUACUCUGCAUUCGCUUGUUGUGAAACACAUAUAUAGUUGCAAAAAUGUAGUGGUGAGAAUCUAGAACUCUGUCAAACAGUGACAGAUCUAGUAAUGAAUUUAAAAGAAGGAAUAGUAGGAUAAGACUUGUUAUUCCGAUAUCGAGCCAAGGGAGAGCGCUGCAACGAUGUCCCCACAUGCUUGGCGUGCUGCAGCUUGCACCCACGCGGCAGCAUGGGUGUGCAGUGCGUUGGCCACCGAGCCGUAUGUUGCGGCGCUGGUGUUAGAGUACCCAUUAGGGUUUUAGGUAUUUUCUGUGUAAUUACCCUCUCGCUCCUACUAUAAUGGGUAUGGCUUAACUAUCGAGUCUAUUAAUACAUUUUCAACCCACUCAGGGGUUUGAGUUUCCCACACGGUCUCCUCCUUCGACCAUUCUCGACGUCGGAGCUUGUGGUCUACACCAACGCCGACUGAGCCGGCUGCCCCGACACGCGCCGAUACACCUCCAGCUAUACCGUAUUCCUGGGCGCCAACCUCGUCUCCUGGGCUGCCAAGCGGCAGCCCGUCGUCUUCCGCUCCAGCGCAGAGGCCGAGUACCACGCUGUAGCCAACGGCGUGGCAGAGGCCUCCUGGAUGCGCCAGCUCCACCACGAGCUCCACGACCCCUUCAGCGCGCCACCCUCGUCUACUGCGACAACGUCAGCGCCGUCUAUCUCUCCACCAAUCCCGUGCAGCAUCAGCGCACGAAGCAUGUACUAUGGAGAUCGACAUGCACUUCGUUUGGGAGCGUGUCGCUGCAGGUGACGUUCGGGUCCUCAGCGUCCCCAUAACGCUGCAGUUCGCUGACAUAUUCACCAAGGAGCUACUGUCGAGUGUAUUCCUAGACUUUUGCUCCACUCUCAAUAUCUGUACAUGAAAGGGAAAUGUGCCCUUGGGCUAUUUCUAAGUAUUUUGGUGAUUUAGUGUCCAACACAAGUGCCUAAGUGUAAAAUGUGGACAAAGUACAAAUCAAGGAUAAAGGUAUGUUUCUCAGACUUAGUACAUUGUUUUAGUGACUAAUGUAUUGUGUCUAAGUGUUGGAAACAGGAAAAAUCGAAUUGGAAAUGAGAUGGCUUUGUUCAGCCAAAGUCUGCUCAGUCUGGGAGCACCGGACUGUCCGGUGGUGCAUCGGACAGUGUCCGGUGCGCCAGGCUGGCUCUGGCGAACAGGCCGCUCUCGGGAAUUCAUCGGCGACGUACGGCUAUAAUUCACCGGACUGUCCGGUGUGCACCGGACUGUCCGGUGAGCCAACGGUCGGCCGAGCCAACGGUCGGCCGCGCGAUCUGCGCGGGACACGUGGCUGAGCCAACGGCUAGAAGGGGGCACCGGACUGUCCGGUGUGCAUCGGACAUGUCCGGUGCGCCAACGGCUCUCAGACUGCCAACGUCGACUGCGCCAUUUAUGGAAAGAAAUCGGGCACCGGACAUGUCCGGUGUGCACCGGACUGUCCGGUGCUCCAGUCGACAGAAGGCAAGAUCAACCUUCCUAGAUUGCUCUCAACGGCUCCUAGCUGCCUUGGGGCUAUAAAAGGGACCCCUAGGCGCAUGGAGGAGUACACCAAGCAUCCUUUGAGCACUAUUGAUCACUCACACAUCAUUCUUGCGCACUUGUUCGCCAUUCUAGUGAUUUGAGCCUCGUUCUAGUGUGCUAGUCUUUUGAGCUCAAGUCUGAGUCUUGUGUGUGCGUAGUUGCUGUGAUCUUUGUGUCUUGUGUGAGUUGCUCAUCCCUCCCUUACUCCGUGAUUCUUUGUGAACAUCAAAAGUGUAAGGGCGAGAGGCUCCAAGUUGUGGAGAUUCCUCGCGAACGGGAUAAGAAAAGAAAAGCAAAACACCGUGGUAUUCAAGUUGAUCAUUGGAUCACUUGAGAGGAGUUGAGUGCAACUCUCGUCCGUUGGGACGCCACAACGUGGAGUAGGCAAGUUUUGUACUUGGCCGAACCACGGGAUAAACCACUGUGUCAUCUCUGUGUUGAUCUCUUUGAGGUUAUCGUAUUGUGCAAAUUCUUCUCUCUAGCCACUUGGUGAUUAUUGUGCUAACACUUAACCAAGUUUUGUGGCUUAAGUUUUAAGUUUUACAGGAUCACCUAUUCACCCCCCCUCUAGGUGCUCUCAAUUGGUAUCAGAGCCGUUCUCUUCACAAAGGGACUAACCGCUCGAAGAGAUGGAUCCUAAGAGGAAGGGUAUCAUGAUCAACGAUAAAGAGAAGGAAUCUUUCGUCAACGAGCCAAAGGAUGACAAGCCUACCGACUCGGGCUCGGGUCAUAGACGAAAAGAUGGGAAGAAGAAGAAGACAAGGCGCAUUAAGGAGAUCGUCUACUACGACGACAGUGAUGAGUCCACUUCUUCCCACAAGGAAAACGACAACAACGACUACGACAAACGAAAGACGGUUAACUCGAACUUUUCUUUCGAUUAUUCGCGUAUUCCUCAAAGUGCAAAUGCUCAUUUAUUAUCUAUUCCACUUGGUAAACCUCCUCAUUUUGAUGGAGAGGACUACGGAUUUUGGAGUCACAAAAUGCGUAGUCACUUGUUCUCUCUCCAUCCUAGUAUAUGGGAGAUUGUAGAGAGUGGAAUGCACUUUGAUAGUUCAGAUAGUCCCAUGUUCAUUAAUGAGCAAAUUCAUAAGAAUGCACAAGCUACUACUGUUCUUCUAGCUUCAUUGUGCAGGGAUGAAUACCACAAAGUGAGCGGCUUGGAUAACGCCAAGCAGAUCUGGGACACCCUCAAGAUUUCACAUGAGGGGAACGACAUCACCUUGCUCACCAAGAUGGAGUUGGUGGAGGGCGAGCUUGGACGAUUCGCGAUGAUAAGGGGCGAGGAGCCGACACAAACAUACAACCGGCUCAAGACCCUUAUCAACAAAAUAAGGAGCUACGGAAGCACGCGAUGGACGGACCACGACGUCGUCCGAUUGAUGCUAAGGUCCUUUACCGUUCUUGAUCCUCAUUUGGUGAAUAACAUUCGUGAGAAUCCCAGGUACACCAAAAUGUCGCCCGAAGAAGUCCUUGGAAAAUUCGUAAGCGGGCGAAUGAUGAUCAAGGAAGCGAGGUACGUGGACGACGCUCUAAACGGUCCAAUCAAUGAGCCUCAAACCGUUGCUCUCAAGGCAACAAGGAGCAAGGAGGCGUUACCCAGCAAGGUAGCACAAAUUGAGGCCGCUGGACUUAAUGAUGAAGAGAUGGCUCUCAUCAUCAAGAGAUUCAAGACGGCGCUUAAGGGUCGCAAGGGACAGCCAAGCAAGACCAAAGCCAAGGGGAAGCGCUCAUGCUUCAAAUGCGGUAAGAUUGGUCAUUUUAUUGCUAACUGUCCCGAUAAUGAAAGUGACCAGGAACACGGGAGCAAGAGGGAAAAGAAGAAAAAUUACAAGAAGGCCAAGGGCGAGGCACAUCUAGGAAAGGAGUGGGACUCGGAUUGCUCCUCCUCUGACUCCGACAAUGAAGGACUCGCCGCCACCGCCUUCAACAAGUCAUCUCUCUUCCCCAACGAGCGUCACACAUGCCUUAUGGCAAGAGAGAAAAAGGUAUGUAGUCGAAACUCUACUUAUGCUUCUUCAAGUGAGGACGAAUCUAGUGAUGAGGAUGAAAUAGAUUAUUCAUGUUUAUUUAAGGGCCUAGAUAGAACCAAGGUAGAUAAAAUUAAUGAAUUGAUUGAUGCCUUGAAUGAUAAGAAUAGGCUUUUAGAAAAACAAGAGGACUUGUUGUAUGAAGAACAUGACAAAUUUGUAGAAGCACAAAAAUCCCAUGCCUUAGAAGUUAAGAGAAAUGAAAUGCUUUCUUAUGAAUUAUCUUCUUGCCAUGAGACAAUUUCUAGCUUAAGGAGCAUUAAUGAUGAUUUGAAUGCUAAGUUAGAAAUAGCUAGUAAAUCAACAACUUGUGUAGAAAAUGUUGUUAUUUGUAAUAGAUGUAAAGAUUUUGAUAUUGAUGCUUGUAGUGAACACAUAGCUUCUAUUGCAAAGUUAAAUGAUGAAAUGGCUAGUCUUAAUGCCCAACUUAAGGCUAGCAGAAGUGAUUUUGAUAAACUAAAAUUUGCUAGGGAUGCCUACACGAUUGGUAGACACCCCUCAAUUAAGGAUGGGCUUGGCUUCAAAAGGGAAGCCAAGAACUUAACAAGCCAUAAGGCUCCCAUCUCCGCCAAGGAGAAAGGGAAGGCCCCUAUGGCAAGUAGUACUAAAAAGAAUCAUGCUUUUAUGUACAAUGAUAGAAGACAAUCUCAUAGGAGUUGUAAUGCGUUUGAUUCACAUGCCUAUGAUUCUUAUGCUAUGUAUUCUUCCAGUUCUUCCUAUAUGCAUAGUAGAGAUAUGCCUAGGAAAAAUAUUCAUCAUGUGCCUAGAAAGAAUAUUGUUCAUGCUCCUAGGAAAGUUAUGAAUGGACCCUCUACAAUUUAUCAUGCUUUAAAUGUUUCCUUUGCUAUUUGUAGAAAGGAUAAGAAGGUAAUUGCUAGGAAAUUAGGGGCAAAAUGCAAGGGUGAUAAAACUUGCAUUUGGGUUCCUAAGACAAUUUUGACUAACCUUGUAGGACCCAACAAGAGUUGGGUACCUAUGACCCAAGCCUAAAUUUGCCUUGCAGGUUUAUGCAUCCGGGGGCUCAAGCUAGAUUAUCGACAGCGGAUGCACAAACCAUAUGACGGGGGAGAAGGAGAUGUUUACCUCCUACGUCAAGAAUAAGGAUUCCCAAGAUUCAAUCAUAUUCGGUGAUGGGAACCAAGGCAAGGUGAAAGGUUUAGGCAAGAUUGCAAUAUCCAAUGAGCACUCUAUCUCUAAUGUGUUUUUAGUUGAGUCUCUUGGAUAUAAUUUACUAUCUGUCAGUCAAUUAUGUAAUAUGGGAUAUAAUUGUCUAUUUACAAAUGUAGAUGUGUCUGUCUUUAGAAGAUGUGAUGGUUCACUAGCUUUUAAGGGUGUACUAGACGACAAACUUUAUUUAGUUGAUUUUGCAAAAGAGGAGGCUGGUCUAGAUGCAUGCUUAAUCGCUAAGACUAGCAUGGGCUGGCUGUGGCAUCGCCGCUUAGCACAUGUGGGGAUGAAGAACCUUCACAAGCUUCUAAAGGGAGAACACGUGAUAGGUUUGACUAACGUGCAAUUCGAAAAAGAUAGACCUUGUGCAGCUUGUCAAGCAGGUAAACAAGUGGGAGGAGCACAUCACAGCAAGAAUGUGAUGACCACCUCAAGACCUCUGGAGUUGCUGCAUAUGGACCUCUUCGGACCUGUCGCCUAUCUGAGCAUAGGAGGAAGUAAGUAUGGUCUAGUUAUUGUUGAUGACUUUUCACGCUUCACUUGGGUGUUCUUUCUGCAGGAUAAGUCUGAAACUCAAGGGACCCUAAAGCGCUUCCUAAGGAGAGCUCAAAAUGAGUUUGAGCUCAAGGUGAAGAAGAUAAGAAGCGACAAUGGGUCCGAGUUCAAGAACCUUCAAGUGGAGGAGUUCCUUGAGGAGGAGGGGAUCAAGCACGAGUUCUCCGCUCCCUACACACCUCAGCAAAAUGGUGUGGUAGAGAGGGAGAACAGGACGCUCAUAGAUAUGGCGAGGACUAUGCUUGGAGAGUUCAAGACCCCCGAGCACUUUUGCUCGGAAGCCGUGAACACGGCUUGUCACGCCAUCAACCGGGUCUACCUUCACCGCCUCCUCAAGAAGACUUCAUAUGAGCUGCUAACUGGUAACAAACCCAAUGUAUCGUACUUUCGUGUAUUUGGGAGUAAAUGCUAUAUUCUAGUGAAGAAGGGUAGGAAUUCCAAAUUUGCUCCCAAGGCUGUAGAAGGGUUUUUAUUAGGUUAUGACUCAAAUACAAAGGCGUAUAGGGUCUUCAACAAAUCAUCGGGUUUAGUUGAAGUCUCUAGCGACGUUGUAUUUGAUGAGACUAAUGGCUCUCCAAGUGAGCAAGUUGUUGAUCUUGAUGAUGUAGAUGAAGAAGACGGUCCAACGGCCGCGAUACGCACCAUGGAGAUUGGAGAUGUACGGCCUCAGGAACAUUUGGAGCAAGAUCAACCUUCUUCCUCAACUAUGGUGCAUCCCCCAACCCAAGAUGACGAACAGGUACCUCAAGUGGAGGCGCAUGAUCAAGGGGGAGCACAGGAUGUUCAAGUCGAAGAGGAAGAAGCAUCACAUGCACCUCCAACCCAAGUUCGAGCGACGAUCCAAAGGGAUCAUCCAGUCGAUCAAAUUCUUGGUGAUAUUAGCAAGGGAGUAACUACUCGGUCUCGAUUAGUUAAUUUUUGUGAGCAUUACUCCUUUGUCUCUUCUAUUGAGCCUUUCAGGGUAGAGGAGGCCUUGCUAGAUCCGGACUGGGUGUUGGCCAUGCAAGAGGAGCUCAACAACUUCAAGAGGAAUGAAGUUUGGACGCUGGUGCCUCGUCCUAAGCAAAAUGUUGUGGGAACCAAGUGGGUGUUCCGCAACAAACAAGACGAGCACGGAGUGGUGACAAGGAACAAGGCUCGACUUGUGGCAAAAGGUUAUGCCCAAGUCGCAGGUUUGGACUUUGAGGAGACUUUUGCUCCUGUGGCUAGGCUAGAGUCCAUUCAUAUCUUGCUAGCAUAUGCCGCUCACCAUUCUUUCAGGUUGUUCCAAAUGGAUGUGAAGAGCGCUUUCCUCAACGGGCCAAUCAAGGAGGAAGUGUACGUAGAGCAACCCCCUGGCUUCGAGGAUGAACGGUACCCCGACCACGUGUGUAAGCUCUCUAAGGCGCUCUAUGGACUUAAGCAAGCCCCAAGAGCAUGGUAUGAAUGCCUUAGAGAUUUCUUAAUUGCUAAUGCUUUCAAGGUUGGAAAAGCCGAUCCAACUCUUUUCACUAAGACUUGUGACGGUGAUCUUUUUGUGUGCCAAAUUUAUGUCGAUGACAUAAUAUUUGGUUCUACGAAUAAAAAGUCUUGUGAAGAAUUUAGCAGGGUGAUGACGCAGAAAUUCGAGAUGUCAAUGAUGGGCGAGUUGAACUACUUCCUUGGGUUCCAAGUGAAGCAACUCAAGGAUGGCACCUUCAUCUCUCAAACGAAGUACACACAAGACUUACUGAAGCGGUUUGGGAUGAAGGACGCCAAGCCCGCAAAGACUCCGAUGGGGACCGACGGACACACUGACCUCAACAAAGGAGGUAAGUCCGUUGAUCAAAAGGCAUACCGGUCAAUGAUAGGGUCUUUACUUUAUUUAUGUGCUAGUAGACCGGAUAUUAUGCUAAGCGUAUGCAUGUGUGCUAGAUUUCAAUCCGAUCCUAAGGAAUGUCACUUAGUGGCAGUGAAGCGAAUCCUUAGAUAUUUAGUUGCUACGCCUUGCUUCGGGCUCUGGUAUCCAAAGGGGUCUACCUUUGACUUGAUUGGAUAUUCAGAUUCCGACUAUGCUGGAUGUAAGGUCGAUAGGAAGAGUACAUCGGGGACGUGCCAAUUCUUAGGAAGGUCCCUGGUGUCAUGGAAUUCUAAGAAACAAACCUCCGUUGCCCUAUCCACCGCUGAGGCCGAGUAUGUUGCUGCAGGAAAGUGUUGCGCACAACUACUUUGGAUGAGGCAAACCCUGAGGGACUUUGGCUACAAUCUGAGCAAAGUCCCACUCCUAUGCGAUAAUGAGAGUGCUAUCCGCAUGGCGGAAAAUCCUAUUGAGCACAGCCGCACGAAGCACAUAGACAUCCGGCAUCACUUUUUGAGAGACCACCAGCAAAAGGGAGAUAUCGAAGUGUUUCAUGUUAGCACCGAGAACCAGCUAGCCGAUAUCUUUACCAAGCCUCUAGAUGAGAAGACCUUUUGCAGGUUGCGUAGUGAGCUAAAUAUCUUAGAUUCGCGGAACCUGGAUUGAUUUAUAGCAUACAUGUGUUUAUGCCUUUGAUCAUUGUUCCCUAUGCAUUUUGUUGCUAAAUAAUGGUGCUCAAGUUGUACAAACACUCCCUGGACCUCACAAGUCCGUUGCAAAGUGAUGCACAUGUUUAGGGGGAGAUGUGUUACAACUUGACCAUUUGAGACUAACCAUGUGCUUGAGUUUGAUGAUUUAGUCUCGAAGAAGGAUUGAAAGGAAAAAGGUGGACUUGGACCAUGAAAGACUUCCACUGCACUCCGAUGAGAGGGUAACUUAUUCCAAGUUCAUCUCAUGUACUCUUAUUGCCUUUGUAUUCUUAUUGAAGAUUUUGGUAAGGCAAUGGGGUUCAAGGGCCAAGGUUAAUCCCGUUUUGGUGCUUGAUGCCAAAGGGGGAGAAAAUAAAGGCCAAAGCGAUAAAUGGAUCAGCUACCACUUGAGAGAUUUUGAAAAUAGUAGAAUAGAGCUUUUGGUUUGUCAAAACUCUUUUAUUGUCUCUCUUGUCAAAAGUUGGCUUCUUGUGGGGAGAAAUGUUGAUUAUGGGAAAAAGGGGAGUUUUUGAAAUCUUGAAUCAAUUUCUCUUGGAAUGACUCUCUUAACAUGUGUGUUUGACUUAGAGAUAGAAAUUUGAGUUUGAUUUGCAAAAACAAACCAAGUGGUGGCAAAGAGUAAUCCAUAUAUGUCAAAUUUGAAUCAAAUGAUUUGAGUCCUUGUUUGAAGUGAUAUUGUAUUUGUUCCACUUGCUUUAUAUUGUGUUGGCAUAAAUCACCAAAAAGGGGGAGAUUGAAAGGGAAAUGUGCCCUUGGGCCAUUUCUAAGUAUUUUGGUGAUUUAGUGUCCAACACAAGUGCCUAAGUGUAAAAUGUGGACAAAGUACAAAUCAAGGAUAAAGGUAUGUUUCUCAGACUUAGUACAUUGUUUUAGUGACUAAUGUAUUGUGUCUAAGUGUUGGAAACAGGAAAAAUCGAAUUGGAAAUGAGAUGACUUUGUUCAGCCAAAGUCUGCUCAGUCUGGGAGCACCGGACUGUCCGGUGGUGCACCGGACAGUGUCCGGUGCGCCAGGCUGGCUCUGGCGAACAAGCCGCUCUCGGGAAUUCAUCGGCGACGUACGGCUAUAAUUCACCGGACUGUCCGGUGUGCACCGGACUGUCCGGUGAGCCAACGGUCGGCCGGGCCAACGGUCGGCCGCGCGAUCUGCGCGGGACACGUGGCCGAGCCAACGACUAGAAGGGGGCACCGGACUGUCCGGUGUGCACCGGACAUGUCCGGUGCGCCAACGGCUCUCAGGCUGCCAACGGUCGACUGCGCCAUUUAUGGAAAGAAAUCGGGCACCGGACAUGUCCGGUGUGCACCAGACUGUCCGGUGCUCCAGUCGGCAGAAGGCAAGAUCAGCCUUCCUAGAUUGCUCUCAACGGCUCCUAGCUGCCUUGGGGCUAUAAAAGGGACCCCUAGGCGUAUGGAGGAGUACACCAAGCAUCCUUUGAGCACUAUUGAUCACUCACACAUCAUUCUUGCGCACUUGUUCGCCAUUCUAGUGAUUUGAGCCUCGUUCUAGUGUGCUAGUCUUUUGAGCUCAAGUCUGGGUCUUGUGUGUGCGUAGUUGCUGUGAUCUUUGUGUCUUGUGUGAGUUGCUCAUCCCUCCCUUACUCCGUGAUUCUUUGUGAACAUCAAAAGUGUAAGGGCGAGAGGCUCCAAGUUGUGGAGAUUCCUCGCGAACGGGAUAAGAAAAGAAAAGCAAAACACUGUGGUAUUCAAGUUGAUCAUUGGAUCACUUGAGAGGAGUUGAGUGCAACUCUCGUCCGUUGGGACGCCACAACGUGGAGUAGGCAAGUUUUGUACUUGGUCGAACCACGGGAUAAACCACUGUGUCAUCUCUGUGUUGAUCUCUUUGAGGUUAUCGUAUUGUGCAAAUUCUUCUCUCUAGCUACUUGGUGAUUAUUGUGCUAACACUUAACCAAGUUUUGUGGCUUAAGUUUUAAGUUUUACAGGAUCACCUAUUCACCCCCCCUCUAGGUGCUCUCAGUACAGGAUAGAGUUGAGACUACGGAGGUGUUAGAGUACCUAUUAGAGUUUUAGGUAUUUCCUAUGUAAUUACCCUCUCGUCCCUACUAUAAUGGGUCUGCCCCAACUAAUAAGUCUAUUAAAACAUUUCCUAACCGCACUCAGGGGUUAGGGUUUCCUAUAGCUGGUAUUGCUGCAGUGUUGUGGCAUGGAUGAGGGACAAGUGUGGGUCCACGUGCUGCUGUGUUGGUGAUGGCGUGCUCUAGCGACGUGCAAAGUGCUGGUGGCACGGGCAGGGUCGUGCUUGAGAUUUAACGGACUCUAGGCAAAAGCUUAUAUAUGGUCAUUUUAACCAUAUAUUUAUACAUAAUCUCUCUCUAUAUAUAAACACACAUUUUGAAAGGUACAACAUUAUUACAUUACUAAUGAGUAAAAAAGUUAUUUAAUUAGAAUUCACAAACCAUUAGCUGGCUCCCUAGCAGGCCAAAGCAAACAACAGGCCAAACGACAAUUAGCUGGCUCCCUAGCUGUCGUAUACAUGUAUGCGUAUGUGCGAACGUUGAUUGUCGAGCGUGUCUUCAGCCCUGUCCUUUGACAGCAUGGUAGAGACAUGAAUUAGGUUUUCUCAAUGUAGUCUGUUUUGACUUGGUACUUGGGAUUGGUUUGGCCAGGUUCGAUAAUGUCUAAGUUCGAUGAUGGCGUACUACUCAGGGUAGCAGGGCUAGACUACUGUAGCAUUAGGGCAACCAAGCCAACACUGAUUAGGCCGAUUAAACAACUAAGGGUAUGUUUAGUUCAGUUGUGGAUUUCAGAAAAUCUAAUUCUAGUUGUGAGCUGUAAAAAAGCUGCUGUGAGCUGAUAUUUUCAGGAAUUGAUUAUGUUGUUGUACCCGUUUGGUUGAGAUUUCAAAAUUUUGGUAGCAAAUAUAGUGUAGAAAACUGAACCAAAUACACUCUAAGUAUUAUACUUAAAUUUAUACUUAUAUACUUGAGUGGGGGCCUGGGCGGCCGCCCACCUAGCGCCCCCUCUGGUCCAGACCUGGGCACGGGCGUGGGCGGCUCAGGUUCUGAGUACCGUGGUUAGGAGGCGGCCGCCCACCUAGCGCCCCCUCUGGUCCAGACCUGGGCACGGGCGUGGGCGGCUCAGGUUCCGAGUACCGUGGUUAGGAAGGAAGUUAUGACCUAUUUUAGUUAAGCUUUGUGGACUAAAAUUUAAUAUAGUAUAGAUAUUAUUGAACCGCGAUCGGGGUUGCAACCUUGGUACUAGAUUCCCUCCUGCUGUCAAAUUUCAUCAUUUUAUUCACAAAGUUCUAUCAUAUUGAACAGAGACAAUUCAAUCUAGGUAGUUUAUUUACACACGUAGAUCUUUCAUAGAUCCAAAUACUAAUUUUCCCCAAGAUGGAGUGGCAGAGCUUAUGACCAAGUCAAACUUUUCUCGUUGGAUUUAGGUCUUUUUUUUGUACCAAUUCAAACUUUUCUAGUUGUGACCAAGUCCGUAGAAAAUUGUACCAAUAUCUACAACAUCAAAUUAGGGGUAUUUGAAUGCACUAGAGAUAAUAGUUAGUGGCUAAAAUUAGCUAGAGACAUCCAAACACCCUAGAUAUUAGCUAUUUACAGUAAAUUAGCUACUCGUUAGCUAACUAUUUGUUAGCUAGCUAAUUCUACUAGUAUAUUUUAGCUAACUAAAUAUUAUCUCUAGUGCAUUCAAACAUCCCCUUAGUUAAUUAAAUCCACAAUUAAAUAUGAGCUGUAGUGCAUUUAUUCCGUAUUGUAUGUAGAUUGUUACUGUAUUUUCUACAAACUUGGUCAAGAUGUUUGACUUGGAACAAAAUGAAACACCAUACAUUUUCGGAACCAAACGUAUAUAAAUUCGUAGGAUGACAGCUUUGCCUACAAAUAGUAGUUACUCUCCAUGGUUAGCUGGGACGGUGUCAUCGCCGUGCCGCUGAAAUUCAGAAUCCCAUUCUGCUCGAUUAUCUGCAUGCACAGGAUUAUAUCUGUUAUGGUUGGCCAGCGCAUCUAUCCAUUCCUAGAUCAGUAGAUCCUAAUGCGAUCUUUCAGAGAGAGUGUUCUUUAUAUAUAAAUAUUAUAAAAGAAAAGCUACGCAGAUUUUGCAAUACCCUUUCCUGAAGCACGCCAUUGACAGCCUGCAGUAUGGCCUCCUGCAAAACAGAAGCGCAAAGAACCUUCGGUGACGGAAAUUGCUGAGCCUGAGCUUUGUUGCAGGAACAGAGCGACAAAUACUGAACCUGACCUUGUUCCUGAGCAUGUCAAUCUCCCUGGAGAUGAUCUGCAUCUGUUCAACAUAUGAGGUCAGUACAUCUGAACUUGCAGAUACUAUUUUUCUUUUUGAAAAAAAGAUUUCAUCUGUGUGUAUCAAGAAGCUAAAACUUACCUUCUGGGAGCGAAUGUUAUUUGCCCACAUUUCAAGAUUAUUUUCCAGGGUCUGGAGCUCGACAAGAUUCAUGUGGUUUAUAUCAUUCUCUCCAUGCAUGUACCUGCAUGGAUGUGCUGAGAUCUGUCAUGAGCCCUGCAAUCGAUUCUAUAAUUUGUGAUUUGUGGAUUCUUGGUAGUUCAACAUGACCAUCAGCUGUACUGGUAAGUUGUUGAACAUAAAUAUAGCUACGAAGCUGCAUCCUCUCCAAAGUUUAUGAAGCUGGAUGGCGGUUUUGUACACGUUUUAGAAAAUAAAAGAAAUAGGAAAGUAAUGGAAGGAACAUCUUUAUUUCAAAAAAAGGACCAUCUUUAGCUACUCACAAAUUCUUCUGAAUUCACAACAGCUCUCCUGGCUACAUCUGUGAAGAGAUGUCAUGCAACUUGUGUUACUCUUAUCCAACCUAGCUUUGUGCUAUCAUUAACACUUUCAGUUCUUUUUCUGAUGCUGCAUGCCGUACACACUAUUGUUUGCAAAAAGCAUGUAGCGCGCAAGACAAUAAAUUUUACUCU